CCCUUAGAUGUUCUGGGCCGCACGCGCGCUACACUGAUGCAUUCAACGAGCCUAUCCUUGACCGACAGGUCCGGGUAAUCUUUGAAUCUGCAUCGUGACGGGGAUAGAUUAUUGCAAUUAUUAAUCUUCAACGAGGAAUGCCUAGUAGGCGCAAGUCAUCAGCUUGCGUCGAUUACGUCCCUGCCCUUUGUAUACACCGCCCGUCGCUCCUACCGAUUGGGUGUGCUGGUGAAAUGUUCGGAUCGGCCGUUUGUCGCGGUUUCCGCGGCUCGUGGCUGAGAAGUUCAUUAAACCCUCCCACCUAGAGGAAGGAGAAGUCGUAACA
rnacentral:rRNA from 1 species